ACUCCUACGGGAGGCAGCAGUGAGGAAUAUUGGUCAAUGGGUGCAAGCCUGAACCAGCCAUCCCGCGUGAAGGACGACUGCCCUAUGGGUUGUAAACUUCUUUUGUAUAGGGAUAAACCUACCCUCGUGAGGGUAGCUGAAGGUACUAUACGAAUAAGCACCGGCUAACUCCGUGCCAGCAGCCGCGGUAAUAC
rnacentral:rRNA from 1 species